GCCCAGCUAAUUUUUUUUUGCAUUUUUUGUAGAGACGUGGGUUUCACCAUCUUGACCAGGCUGGUCUUGAACUCCUGACCUUGUGAUCCACCCGCCUCAGCCUCCCAACAUGCUGGGAUUACAGGUGUGAACCACCGCGCCCAGCUGAUAAAUGUGUUUAAUGGCAUUUUAAGUGAGACACUUGUUACUGCCACCAAGCGAUAGAUUUAGUGGAGGAAAAAUCCACACAUACCCCCAUCCCAAUCCCCCAAAUUUUCUUCAACAUGCCGCUUCUGUUCUUGGAAGAGUUAACUGCCUCGCUUCUGCAUAAGAGUCCCAAACACUGAGAACUAGGGUGUCUUCCCCUUCCUUUCCUUCCAAAAAGGCCAGCAGCCUCAAGCAAGCCAAAGUCCUUUCCUCUUGAAUGCGUAGUCUUGUGAACUCCACUGUCUUCACAAACUCAGCAGCUGGUGGAAGCUCUCUGAAGAACUGAGACAGGAGGUGGCACUGCUCUGACACCAUCCUUUGAAGGUGACAGAGCAUCUCAGGGCUUGGGGGACGCCAGCCGGACUUCGAGAGGAGACAGAAGAGGUGCUUGCAGAGGUAUUUCACAAAGAUCAGGGUCUCGGCCCAAAAGUUGACUUCUGCUUUUUCAAACAGGUAGUCUUCUUCCACCUAAAUCAGAUGAAAAAGCCGAAAGUCAGUCUUACAGGGAAUGGUGACAAGCCCCAGUCCAGACCAAGCAGUACCCUGCCAGAUGCAAGAGGGGUUUCCCUUCCCCCACCUGACACAGGGUGCACUCUCGCCUGUCAACAUCCAUGUACACACACCACUUGCAG
rnacentral:lncRNA from 1 species